UUGGAGGGCAAGUCUGGUGCCAGCAGCCGCGGUAAUUCCAGCUCCAAUAGCGUAUAUUAAAGUUGUUGCAGUUAAAAAGCUCGUAGUUGAAUUUCGGGAUUGACGUGAUGGUCAUGCCUUAAGGGGUAUGAACUGUUGCUGUUGAUUUCUCACCUUCUGGAGAAACUUGAUGUCCUUAAUAGGGUGUCUUGCGGAUCCAGGACCUUUACCUUGAAAAAAUUAGAGUGUUUAAAGCAGGCAUUUUUGCUCGAAUACAUUAGCAUGGAAUAAUAGAAUAGGACGGCAUGGUUCUAUUUUGUUGGUUUCUAGGAUCACCGUAAUGAUUAAUAGGGAUAGUUGGGGGCAUUAGUAUUCAAUUGUCAGAGGUGAAAUUCUUGGAUUUAUUGAAGACUAACUACUGCGAAAGCAUUUGCCAAGGAUGUUUUCAUUAAUCAAGAACGAAAGUUAGGGGAUCGAAGACGAUCAGAUACCGUCGUAGUCUUAACCAUAAACUAUGCCGACUAGGCAUCAGACGAUGUUAAUUUUUUAAUGACUCGUUUGGCACCUUACGGGAAACCAAAGUGUUUGGGUUC
rnacentral:rRNA from 1 species